rnacentral:rRNA from 1 species
UAGGGAAUUGUUCGCAAUGGGCGCAAGCCUGACGACGCAACGCCGCGUGGAGGAUGAAGGUCUUCGGAUCGUAAACUCCUGUUGCCCGGGACGAAUAGCUUCGACCUAACACGUCGGAGUAUGACGGUACCGGGUGAGGAAGCCCCGGCUAACUCUGUGCCAGCAGCCGCGGUAAUACAGAGGGGGCAAGCGUUGUUCGGAAUUACUGGGCGUAAAGGGCGCGUAGGCGGCCUGUUAAGUCGAACGUGAAAUCCCUGGGCUCAACCCAGGAACUGCGUCCGAUACUGGCGGGCUUGAAUCCGGGAGAGGGAUGCGGAAUUCCAGGUGUAGCGGUGAAAUGCGUAGAUAUCUGGAGGAACACCGGUGGCGAAGGCGGCAUCCUGGACCGGUAUUGACGCUGAGGCGCGAAAGCCAGGGGAGCAAACGGGAUUAGAUACCCCGGUAGUCCCUGAGCGGGCUGGCAAGGCGCAU